rnacentral:rRNA from 1 species
UACGUAGGGGGCAAGCGUUGUUCGGAAUUACUGGGCGUAAAGGGCGCGUAGGCGGCCUGCUAAGUCGAACGUGAAAUCCCCGGGCUCAACCCGGGAACUGCGUCUGAUACUAGUUGGCUGGAAUCCGGGAGAGGGAUGUGGAAUUCCAGGUGUAGCGGUGAAAUGCGUAGAUAUCUGGAGGAACACCAAUGGCGAAGGCAGCUCACUGGGACGGUACUGACGCUGAGACGCGAAAGCGUGGGGA